AGCAGCCGCGGUAAUUCCAGCUCCAAUAGCGUAUAUUAAAGUUGUUGCAGUUAAAAAGCUCGUAGUUGAAUUUCGGGAUCAGUACGCUGGUCGUGCCUUUGGUAUGUACUGGUGUCACUGAUUCCUCCCUUCUGAAGAACCGUUAUGCCAUUUAUUUGGUGUGGCGGGGAAUCAGGACUGUUACUUUGAAAAAUUAGAGUAGUUUAAAGCAGGCUCGCGCUUGAAUACAUUAGCAUGGAAUAAUGAAAUAGGACGUUUGAUCUUAUUUUGUUGGUUUCUAGGAUCGACGUAAUGAUUAAUAGGGGUAGUUGGGGGCAUUAGUAUUCAAUUGUCAGAGGUGAAAUUCUUGGAUUUA
rnacentral:rRNA from 1 species